CGAGAGAUCGUAUCCUUCAGUUCGGCUGGAUCGGAGACAGGUGCUGCAUGGCUGUCGUCAGCUCGUGUCGUGAGAUGUUGGGUUAAGUCCCGCAACGAGCGCAACCCUCGCCCUUAGUUGCCAGCAUUCAGUUGGGCACUCUAAGGGGACUGCCGGUGAUAAGCCGAGAGGAAGGUGGGGAUGACGUCAAGUCCUCAUGGCCCUUACGGGCUGGGCUACACACGUGCUACAAUGGUGGUGACAGUGGGCAGCGAGACCGCGAGGUCGAGCUAAUCUCCAAAAGCCAUCUCAGUUCGGAUUGCACUCUGCAACUCGAGUGCAUGAAGUUGGAAUCGCUAGUAAUCGCAGAUCAGCA
rnacentral:rRNA from 1 species